CAGCGUUUUUGUUUACUUUAUUUGUCUCGUGCCUAAGCAGCACGUGCCGCGUGGCAAGAAGGUGCUUCUGUUAUUGUGAUUUUAGGAAAGGGGGCGGCUCUCUGCAGCAACACGGGUGGUCAGAAAGCUAACUAAACAGCAGCAAAACCACAUCGUGUCAAGAUUGACCACAAUAAACAUCUUUAAUUCAAGACAGCAAAUGCAAUGCGUGUCAGAAAGAAGAAGAAAAACGAACUUGGGCGUGAAUUCGAACCCCAAUCAGCUCCAUGACGCGCAGCUGCAGCGUUUAGGAGGACGCCACAGCAUGUCAGGAGUUUGCAAAAAUGUUUUUGGAGCCUGCGUGCACCCAUUAGGAGAGGUGUAAUGUAUUGACAGAGAGCAAUUUAUCUUUUGCCCCGCUUCCUAAUGGCCUGUGCAGGAGGAGAAGGAGAGGUGGCAUGGAGGAGGAGGAGGAUGAGGAGGAGGAAAGGGAAGAAGGAGCACCGAUGGUCCAGCAGCUCCACCCGCCGAACAUAGCCUUCAAGCAGCCGUGGGAAGGAUGAUGGAGGCGCCUGAGUGUUGAGAAGAAGCCUCUUCCUCAGCGUCUCAGCAGACAGCCUCCUCCUCCUCCUCGUCACCGUGCAGGAUCUCCUCUUCGCGUCCCGCUGCAGCCGCUGCACUCCGGGCCACAAAUCUUGCUGGCGUGAACAGAUGGAGCAUCAAUUUGAUUCCAUCCUCGACACCGUGAAAGAUUGAUUUUGCACUUGCUUUUAAUUUUGUCCAUAAUUAAUUGGAUCAUUACGACUGUUUUUCAUUGACGAAAUGGUUUAAGGGUAAAAUUACACCCUGA